ACCUGUCAAAUAACAUUCUAAUAAUCUCAAAUUUAAGCAAAAGGUCCCAAAAUCUCAAUUCUCCCUUCACCGUACCCCUAGAUUAUCUUCGGACUGUUGAGAGACGAGAACAUCGAGCAGAAGGUUGUCAAAUUCGUCAAAUUUUGAUCUGAACGAAGCUUUGAAAACAACUUCAGGGUCAUCUUUGGUUUUGGUUGAAGGAGUAGACGAAGAAGUCGAAGGAAGCUGAGAGAGGAGAGGUCAGAGGAGUAAAAAAGGAUUGAAGUGAGCUGAGGUGACCCUUAGCCUUGCGUCAAUCGAAAUGGGUUCGGCUUGAAUUCAGUAAAGUUCUCUGCUUUUUUUCCUACCCUGUGUUUGUUUUCGUGAUGUGAAUAUUGAGCGAGAAUUGGGUUUCGUUACGAUCUGUGUAGCAAAAACUGUUUUAGGGUUCCGAUAAAGUUACCUUUUUUUGGGGUUUUAGACUCCAUUCUGGGUAACUUAUCUCUUGUUGGGACUCCAAUGUCAUAUAAAUCUCUCAAUUCGUUUAAUUUGUGGUAUUUUAUUAUUUAACAGUUACUUUCAUUUAUGUUUUUUUCAUUUUUCUGUUAGUUUAACCUAUGUGUUUGAAAUUUUAAAUUACUAUGAAUGAUGGUGAAGAGAAGAGUAAUGAUCUGGAGAAGAGUCAAGAAGUCUCUUAAAACGACUUUAGCGUUUUGUUUGCUCUUCUCCUUCAAGCGUCUUCUCGCUUUGCCGCUUGAUCAUGUUGUUUGUCUUUCAUGGUGAGAAUAAAGUUUUCUACUUUGUAACAAAUUCUCAAGCUUAUCUGAAUAUAUGGUACUAAAUUCUCAAGCUUUAUCAAGGUUCAUGCGUUGAGUGAGUUUAAACAUAUUGUUGUGGCUCAUUUCAUGGAUAAUCUCUCUUUUUUUUUUGGGUCCUUUCACUUCUCAUGCUGUUGGAUCUCAUGUUGUUGCAAUUCUUGUGAUUCUUGAUCUUGAAUCGGAUUCAAAAUAUGGGUUGAUGCAACCAACUAAGGUUUCUUUGAUUGUUGAUAUGUUGAAUGAUGGAUGUAAUGAGACCAAAAUCAAUUGUGCUAGACUGAUUACAGGAUUGAGGGAAGAGAAGGGGUUUAGAGCAGAGCUGGUCUCAGGUCAUAGUUUGCUUGUUGGGCUAAUGAGAUUGGUUAAGCAUAAGAGACAUAUAAAUGGAGAGCUUCCCGUGCUCUUGGGAUGCUUAAACCAGACAAGUUUGAAGCUUGAUGGUUAGCAUUGGAGCAUUGCCCCAAUUAGUCGAUAUAUUACUGUCUUUAGACUUAAAAUGUUUGGAAUUAGUGUUUUCUUAUUUUUGAUGCUUUUUGUUCAGAUUAGUGUUUCAGUUGUUUUCA